rnacentral:sRNA from 1 species
CGAGAUGCCCUCUCCCUAGCUGUGCGCAAUGUAAAUUAAUUGAGCACAAGGUGUGCACGAGCGAAUGGAUGGAAGGAUUGUGUGUCAAUACUCC